CAAGGAAUUUUCCCCAAUGGGCGCAAGCCUGAGGGAGCAACGCCGCGUGCGGGACGACGGCCUUCGGGUUGUAAACCGCUUUUACGGGGGACGAUUGUGACGGUACCCCGCGAACAAGCCCCGGCUAACUCUGUGCCAGCAGCCGCGGUAAGACAGAGGGGGCAAGCGUUGUCCGGACUGACUGGGCGUAAAGCGCGCGCAGGCGGACGCGGGCGUCGGUGCGGAAAGGUCGCCGCUUAACGGCGGAGAGCGUACCGAUACGCCGCGUCUGGAGCGCGGGCGAGGGUGGUGGAAUUGCCGGUGUAGUGGUGAAAUGCGUAGAGAUCGGCAGGAACACCCGUGGCGCAAGCGGCCACCUAGCCCGUUGCUGACGCUGAGGCGCGACAGCGUGGGGAGCGAACUGGAUUAGAUACCCGCGUAGUCC
rnacentral:rRNA from 1 species